UUCGGUGGAAGAUUACUAAUGAGAGUGGCGAACGGGUGAGUAACGCGUGAGCAACCUGCCUAUGACAGUGGGAUAGCCUCGGGAAACCGGGAUUAAUACCGCAUAAAAUCGUAGAAACACAUGUUUUAACGGUCAAAGAUUUAUCGGUCAUAGAUGGGCUCGCGUCUGAUUAGCUAGUUGGUGAGAUAACAGCUCACCAAGGCGACGAUCAGUAGCCGGUCUGAGAGGAUGAACGGCCACAUUGGAACUGAGACACGGUCCAAACUCCUACGGGAGGCAGCAGUGGGGAAUAUUGCACAAUGGGGGAAACCCUGAUGCAGCGACGCCGCGUGAACGAAGAAGGUAUUCGUAUCGUAAAGUUCUGUCCUAUGGGAAGAUAAUGACAGUACCAUAGAAGAAAGCUCCGGCUAAAUACGUGCCAGCAGCCGCGGUAAUACGUAUGGAGCGAGCGUUGUCCGGAAUUAUUGGGCGUAUAAGGGUACGCAGGCGGUUUAAUAAGUCGAAUGUUAAAGAUCGGGGCUCAACCCCGUAAAGCAUUGGAAACUGAUAAACUUGAGUAGUGGAGAGGAAAGUGGAAUUCCUAGUGUAGUGGUGAAAUACGUAGAUAUUAGGAGGAAUACCAGUAGCGAAGGCGACUUUCUGGACACAAACUGACGCUGAGGUACGAAAGCGUGGGGAGCAAACAGGAUUAGAUACCCUGUAGUCCACGCCGUAAACGAUGAAUGCUAGGUGUUGGGGGUCAAACCUCGGUGCCGAAGUUAACACAUUAAGCAUUCCGCCUGGGGAGUACGCACGC
rnacentral:rRNA from 1 species